GUAAAUUUUUGUAUUAAUAAAAAAUAAAAAAAUAAAAUAAAAUAAAAAAUAUCUGUUCUUAUCAGUUUAAUAUCUGAUACGUCCCCCAUCGGGGGACUACAUAUUAAAUGGAUUUUUCGAACAGGGAGUCGGAAAUGAGGCUUGCUCCGUCCGCUCCACGCAUCGACCCGGUAUUGCAGUACCUCCGGGAACGGUGCAACACUU
rfam:Salmo salar isolate Sally breed double haploid chromosome ssa25, whole genome shotgun sequence.